UAGGUGAACCUGCGGAAGGAUCAUCACUG
rnacentral:rRNA from 2 species